ensembl:lncRNA
AUUUUGAGAAUUAAUAUUGGAAAUGGCUGUUUUAGUGAGUGAGGCCAGGACAAAACUAACAGAUACAAUGGAGGAUCAUUGUCCUUUUAGCUUAAAUUAACAACGCUUCUCUCUGUAAACAAUAUUCUUGAAAUUGUUUGUUUGAUUUGAUUCAUUUAUUAUUCAUUGGUAGUCUUAGCUGAUAAUACCUACAAGAUCAAUUACACUUGAGGGCACGAAAGUGUGAUGGCCACCAAGACAAGUUUCAAUUUACACAGCCGUCCGUUAGCUUGGACGUCUUCCUCCACCAAGGUGAGUGGCCUGGAAGUGACAUAAAUACGUUAAAUACGUUGAAUAAUGUGUUACCUGAAUUCAACCUUAUAUGUAGGCGAUAACCCACUGCUGCACGUGCCACCAUCGUGACCGGAUCUCUGUGGAAACACCUCCUCCUAGGGGCCGUGGACCGGAGCUCUCCGGUGGGACCAGAGCUCUCCGGAUCUCGGUUCCGAAACUCUGCUGAGAAGCUCGGGAUAUCGACCAUACUAAACCCGACAUUGUGACUGCCUCUUAAUAAUGAGAAGUAAAAAAAAAAAAACUCAAACACGAAUUGGUCUUGUCCAAUUUAAAUUGUCUAAGUUCUCAACGGUUAUUUAAAAAAAAAAUAACGACCGCAACAUAACGUUAUGACAGCCUCUUUGGGAGUCUUAAUCACAUAUUACUCAGUUAAUCACCUCCCACACAGCAAGGUCCAUAAACAUUGUCUUGGACCACCUGAUAUCCUGGACAUUUGCCAAUGUUUCUUUUAUUUCUUUUAUCUUUAUUUAUUACAUAUUUCUUUAUUUAUCACAUAGUCCUAUUUCUUGGCCUCCACUUGACAACAUUCCAGCUGUUUUACCCCCGCUCAGCCGUCAAAUAAUAGACGGGCACACUCCUCAGCCAAUGGCGGAGCGCUGCCCGGUGUCUGCUCGCU